UACGUAGGGGGCAAGCGUUGUCCGGAAUCAUUGGGCGUAAAGAGCGUGUAGGCGGCCCGGUAAGUCCGCUGUGAAAGUCCAGGGCUCAACCCUGGGAUGCCGGUGGAUACUGUCGGGCUCGAGUCCGGAAGAGGAGUGUGGAAUUCCUGGUGUAGCGGUGAAAUGCGCAGAUAUCAGGAGGAACACCAAUGGCGAAGGCAGAUCUCUGGGCCGUAACUGACGCUGAGGCACGAAAGCGUGGGGAGCAAACAGG
rnacentral:rRNA from 1 species